rnacentral:misc_RNA from 1 species
AAGUCGUAACAAGGUUUCCGUAGGUGAACCUGCGGAAGGAUCAUUAACACGUAUCCACGUAUCAACCCCAUGUGCUUUUUGUUUUACAUUUAAACCUGUCUGAGACGGUUUGGGGAAACGACCUCAUGCUAAUUUCGAAUUUGAAACGAAAGAAACUUUGAGUGGUUUUGACUGGGAUUCACGUCUCAGUCAUGGGUUUCUUUCUGAGUAGAGUUUGAGAGUGAGUGUUGUGGCCUUGAACUGUUUCGCCGUUACAGGAUGUUUUGUCACACCUACCACUUCGGUGUGACGCUUUAACUUAUUUACCCCUUUCGUAACUGAAUGUCUAAUUCAAACUUUGAUUUAUUGAGAGUGUCUUCAUUGACCUUUCUCUGAUCAAUAGUACGAAAUGCUUGACAACUCUUAGCAACGGAUAUCUUGGUUCUC